rnacentral:rRNA from 1 species
GACGAACGCUGGCGGCGUGCCUAACACAUGCAAGUCGAGCGAAAGGACGAGAAGCUUGCUUCUGUGAGGGUAGGGGAGGAGGGGGGAGUAACACGUGGAUAACCUACCUAUAUUACUGGUAAAUGCUCGGGAAACCGGAUCAAAUAACGGAUAAUAUUUUAAAGCGUGUGGUUCAGAAGGGAAAGACGGUCUUGGUGUCUCUGAUAGAUGCAUACCCGCUGCAUUAGCUAGUGGGUAAGGUAGCGGCUUACCAAGGAAACUAUGCAUAGCAGACCUGAGAGCGUGGUCGGCCACCUUGGAAGUGAGGCACGGUCCCGACUCCUACGCGAAGCCGCAGUAGGGAAUCUUACGCAAUGGGGGAGAGGCUGACGGAGCAACGCCGCGUGAGUGAUGAAGGUCUUCGGAUCGGAAAGCUCUGUUAUUCGUGAAGAACAUAUGUGUAAGUAACUGUGCAGAUCUUGACGGUACCUAGUCAAAAAGCCCCGGCUAACUACGUG